rnacentral:tRNA from 1 species
AAGGACUUAAGUUAAAUAAACUAAUAACCUUCAAAGUUAUAAUUGAAAGAUUAUCCUUUUAGGCCUUA